rnacentral:tRNA from 1 species
GGAGAGGUGUCCGAGUGGCUGAAGGAGCACGCUUGGAAAGCGUGUGUUGCGGUAGCCCCGCAACCGGGGGUUCGAAUCCCCCCCUCUCCGCCG